GAUUGUUGAGAUCUGGCGACUUGCUUAAAUUUCAUCAGCCUCACUUCUAUGGACUCUCAGAGCUGAUUACCAACUCCUACCACUGUUAACCCUCAUCCAGGAACAAGCUUAUGUCUUUAACAUUCUGAGUGGGCUUCAGCAUCCUUGCAUAUGUUCAAUUCUUAAAAACCUGUUGAAAUAAAAGAUCAGGAGACAUAGGAGGGAUGCCAGAAGACAGCGUGGCCUCACGUGUACCAGCUCUCUGCUCUCCUUUGCCUUGGGACGUUCCAUCCCUGGAAGUUUCCCUGCCCACAUCUUUGUAGAGAGUCCAUUCUCCAAGCUUCAGUGUGUCAUCUGUUAGGACUAUGACCCACCUGGUACAUUACCUCAGGGCAUUCAUUUCAGGCUCCUUCUAAGUGGUCAAGAGAAAACACCAACAUUUUUGUAAUGGCCUGCAAGGCCUUCCAAGAUCUGCCUCCUGCAACUCAGCUUCUCCUGUGCUCUUCUUCUGGACUCACUCUGCCUCAGCAACGCUGGUCCCUGUUGCCCCACCAAUAUGCCAGGUAAACCUCAGGUUCUCCUCCUGCCUUUUGCUAAGUAUAUGUCUUGAUGACAAGCCUUCUGCUAAUGAGCUGUGUUUCUGGACCGAUCAUGGUAGAAGUCAAUUGAAGUGUCCCUCACUUGGGGUUUCUUAAGGACAUGCAAGGUCCUCAUGAUUGUCUCAAAACUAUAUAGAAUUGAGAAGCUGCACUGAUGAGGAAACUGAAACAGAAAAUCCAGAGUAAAUUCCACCAGGCCACACAGCAAGGUCUGAUAGAGCCAGGAGAGACUUUAUGAAAUCCAGACUCUCACACUAAUGCUCUAUCAGCUAGACCUCCAUGUGAGUCUCCCCAAUGUAGGUAGGAAGCACUUUCCC
rnacentral:lncRNA from 1 species